rnacentral:tRNA from 1 species
CAGUAUAUAUUUUAAUUAAAAUAUUAAUUUUGGAAAUUAAUGAUAAUAUACACUUUAUAUUUAUACUGA